UUCUAUUAGCAUUAAUUAAUAGUAAAAUCUGCUCAAUGAACAAUUAAAUAGCCGCAAUUCUGUGCUAAGGUAGCAUAAUCAUUUGUCUUUUAAAUGAAGACUUGCAUAAAAGAUUUAAUAUUUCAAAAUAUAUCUUUAAAUUAAAUAUCAAAAUUAUCCUAUAUGUAAAAAGACAUAUAUUUAAAGGAAAGACGACAAGACCCUAUUGAACUUAACUAAAGUUAGACUGGGGCAGUUAAUUAAUUAAUAUUUUAAUUAUAAUAUAUAUAUAAGUAUACCCUAUAUAAUAGAAUAAUAAUCAAGUUACCAUAGGGAUAACAGCGUAAUAAAUUUCUAAAGAUCUUAUUUAAAUAAAAGUUUACGACCUCGAUGUUGAAUAAUUAUCUACUUAACGCAAUGGUUAAAUAAAGAUAGUCUGUUCGACUUUUAAUUCAUUACA
rnacentral:rRNA from 1 species